rnacentral:rRNA from 1 species
ACGAAGGGGGCUAGCGUUGUUCGGAAUCAUUGGGCGUAAAGAGCGUGUAGGCGGCUGGAUAAGUCAGAUGUGAAAGCCCUGGGCUUAACCUAGGAAGUGCAUUUGAAACUGUUCAGCUUGAGUAAGGGAGAGGAAAGUGGAAUUCCUGGUGUAGAGGUGAAAUUCGUAGAUAUCAGGAGGAACACCGGUGGCGAAGGCGGCUUUCUGGCCCGAUACUGACGCUCAGGCGCGAAAGCGUGGGGAGCAAACAG